GGGAGGAGCAGGCGGGCAGGUGGAGAAGCCCGGAGAGGUCGAGGGCGGCCGGAUCCUGCGUUGUGAGGCGUCCACCGAGUUAGCUGGCGACCAGUAGUUGUUCUUUCAAUAUGGUGAAGUGGAAAAGCCUUGAGCUUAACCUCUUCUCAUGGACACACCAAAAUCACAACUAACUGCUGGACAGCCAUCGAUAAAGAAGGCCGGAACCUGCCAAAACAGAUCGUCUACAUCUGAAGGCAUAAAGAAGUGGCAACAAGAUGUUAUGAGGGGUGUACCUGCAAGAUAAUCAACCCCUUGUCAGCUAAAGGGAGCUGCCUGGCCUAUGGUUAUGCCCCCUGCAUCCAAUGAGUGGUCAGUGUGGGGGAGUGUGAAGGUCUCACCCCCUGGGUUGGACCCACACACUGGAGAAUAAUUAUAUUACAGACGCUCUCCCACAGGAGUGAGAGUCCUUUUCCUAACCCGAGGGUCUGGCAUUGGGAAGAGGAGCUCCCCAGAGCAUUAGGAUAUGAAGGCCAGCAGGGCUUAAUUGCAGGAGCGCCACAGGGCCGGGGGAGACAGACUUAACUCUUAAAGGGAUUGCACAAAAUCUCAUGUGCAAGGGGAUUGAGGACAAAAGCAGUGAUCUCAUAGGAGCCUAGAGCAGACCUCCCUGCUGGUCUUGGAAGGUCUCAUGGGGUGGUGGGGCGCAGCUGUGGCUCCUGCUGGGGUCCAAAAGCUGGUGGCAGAUAUUUGGGGGGUUAUUCUGCAUGAACUCUCCUUGAGGCAGGCAUCUUGCUUGGGUCCUUAGCAGCAACACCUGGCCCCACUCAGCAGCCUGUAGGCUUCAGAGCCGGAUGCCUCAGGCCAGACAACUAACCUGGCAGGAACACGGCUCCGCCUGUUAGCAGACAGGUUGCCGAAAGACUUCCUGAUCCCACAGUCACCUCUGGACGCAACCCUAGACACCAUCCUGCCUACCAGAGGGCCAGGACCCAGCUCCACCCACCCAUUAGCAGGCAUCAGCUCUUUCCACUAGGAAGCCUACACAAGCUUCUAGACCAGCCUCUCACCCACCAGGGAGCAGAAACUAGAAGGAAGAAAGCUACAAUCCAGCAGCCUGUAGUCUGCAAAUGCAGGCUAGACACUGCCCUGGGACCGCUGGCCCUGGCCCUUGGGUGAUGAGAGAGGAGGGCACUUCUGGGACCCAUAGGACCUCUCCUACUGAAGGCUGCUUCUCCAGAGUUGAGAAACACAAUUAACCCAAAA